UACGUAGGGUGCAAGCGUUGUCCGGAAUUAUUGGGCGUAAAGAGCUCGUAGGCGGUUUGUCGCGUCUGCUGUGAAACUCGGGGCUUAACUCCGGGCCUGCAGUGGGUACGGGCAGACUAGAGUGCGGUAGGGGAGACUGGAAUUCCUGGUGUAGCGGUGAAAUGCGCAGAUAUCAGGAGGAACACCGGUGGCGAAGGCGGAUCUCUGGGCCGUAACUGACGCUGAGGAGCGAAAGCAUGGGGAGCGAACAGGAUUGAGACUACCUAGUC
rnacentral:rRNA from 1 species